UGGGGAAUAUUGCACAAUGGGGGAAACCCUGAUGCAGCGACGCCGCGUGAGCGAAGAAGGCUUUCGAGUCGUAAAGCUCUGUCCUAUGAGAAGAUAAUGACGGUAUCAUAGGAGGAAGCCCCGGCUAAAUACGUGCCAGCAGCCGCGGUAAUACGUAUGGGGCGAGCGUUGUCCGGAAUUAUUGGGCGUAAAGGGUACGUAGGCGGUCUAUUAAGUCAGGUGUGAAAGCGUGAGGCUUAACCUCAUUAAGCACUUGAAACUGAUAGACUUGAGUGAAGGAGAGGAAAGUGGAAUUCCUAGUGUAGCGAUGAAAUGCGUAGAUAUUAGGAGGAACACCAGUAGCGAAGGCGGCUUUCUGGACUGCAACUGACACUGAGGCACGAAAGCGUGGGUAGCAAACAGG
rnacentral:rRNA from 1 species